rnacentral:miRNA from 7 species
UUUUGCCAGUCGUGAACAAGAGCCUGCAUGCCACGCUCACAAAAAACUGCACCAGUGGAGGUGACCCGCUGUUGCUGUCACCACUGCUGAAACGCACC